rnacentral:rRNA from 1 species
AACGAACGCUGGCGGCAUGCCUAACACAUGCAAGUCGAACGAGACCUUCGGGUCUAGUGGCGUACGGGUGCGUAACGCGUGGGAACCUGCCUUUAGGUUCGGAAUAACUCAGAGAAAUUUGAGCUAAUACCGGAUGAUGUCUUCGGACCAAAGAUUUAUCGCCUUUAGAUGGGCCCGCGUUGGAUUAGCUAGUUGGUGGGGUAAAGGCCUACCAAGGCGACGAUCCAUAGCUGGUCUGAGAGGAUGAUCAGCCACACUGGGACUGAGACACGGCCCAGACUCCUACGGGAGGCAGCAGUGGGGAAUAUUGGACAAUGGGCGAAAGCCUGAUCCAGCAAUGCCGCGUGAGUGAUGAAGGCCUUAGGGUUGUAAAGCUCUUUUACCCGAGAUGAUAAUGACAGUAUCGGGAGAAUAAGCUCCGGCUAACUCCGUG